GUGGUAUAAACGGUUAAUGCAUUUGACUGUUAAUCAAAAAGUUGGUGGUUCGAGUCCACCC
rfam:Loxodonta africana unplaced genomic scaffold scaffold_57, whole genome shotgun sequence.